AACGUUCUGAUGGAUGACCUGCUCGCC
rnacentral:piRNA from 1 species